GAUGAAGAACGUAGCGAAAUGCGAUACGUAAUGUGAAUUGCAGAAUUCAGUGAAUCAUCGAAUCUUUGAACGCAUAUUGCGCUCUCUGGUAUUCCGGAGAGCAUGCUUGUUUGAGUAUCAGUAAACACCUCAACUUCCAUAUCUUUUUUGAAAUGGGAGUUGGACUUGAGUGAUCCCAACGCUUUUCCUCACCGAAAAGUGGCGGGUUACUUGAAAUGCAGGUGCAGCUGGACUUUUCUCUGAGCUAUAAGCAUAUCUAUUUAGUCUGCCUAAAAAACAGAUUAUUACCUUUGCUGCAGCUAACAUAAAGGAGAUUAGUUCUUGUGCUGACUGAUGCAGGAUUCACAAAGACAGGCUUCGGCCGACUUUGUAAACUCGAUCUCAAAUCAAGUAAGACUACCCGCUGAACUUAAGCAUAUCAAUGAGCGGAGGA
rnacentral:misc_RNA from 1 species